rnacentral:tRNA from 1 species
GCGGGUGUGGCGAAAUUGGCAGACGCGCCAGGUUUAGGUUCUGGUGUCCGUAAUGGACGUGGGGGUUCAAGUCCCUCCACCCGCACCA